rnacentral:lncRNA from 1 species
UUUUCCUGAUAAAUUAUUUGUUCAUUAAUGUACCAAUAAAUCAUUAAUUGAAGAGCAGAUGUUGAGUACCCAGUAUAGGCCAAGCAUAGUAGGUGUUGGUAUUUUGUGACAGUGAAAGGAUUACAUAAAUAUCUCAUUAGAAUGAGUCCUCUCUGUCAGUCUGAACUGGUACAAAGUUUGCUACUUGAUCUUGAAUCCCACUUUGAAGAACACUCUUCAGUGACUCAGGUGAAAUCUCAGAGAGGAAGCCAGCAGAGCUCCGAAGAAGCUCAUGGAAUGUGGUGUGCUCCAGGUGAGUCUGAAGGUCACAGAGCUCAGAAUCCUGUCCUCUGAAUGAAAGACCUAUGAUGAAUGCUUCAGUCACUGGGAGGGCUGAAGCUUGCACAGGAAGCCUGGGGUAUAAAGCCAUCUCUUCAUUGCUGCCCUGCCUGGGUUGGAAACUAUGCCCCACCAUCUGGAAAAUAGGCAACAUUGGGAAAAAAUAUGGCUGUGCUAGAAGAAGAGAAUACAAUAUUAUUAAGCCCAAGGAGAAUAGGAAGAUCUUUGGAGUGAUACUCUAGGAGCCUCAAAGCUACAGAUGAUGACAGCACACUUACCAAGCAGCAGGACAACACAGGAUCCUCCAAGCACUGUGCAUGAAUUAUCUCAUUGAAUCCUUCCAAUCCUGAAGGCUACAGAUUCACAGCGUCCCCAUUUUACUUAUGAGAAAACUGAAAGAGAAUCAUGGUUGCCAGCCAGCAUAUGACAGAGACAGCACUGGACCAAACAGCCUGUUUCCAGGGCCAGCUCUCUUACUCAGCACCACAGUGCCUCCCAGUCAACUGUGAGAGGCAGGCACUCCACCAGGAGUUCUACAAAUAAUCAUGUAAUUACCAUGGUGCUGAGUGCUGAAAAGAAGUACAAGCAUCUUCGCUAGGAUAGCUGGAGACUCAGUUGGUGAGGGGAUGCUUCCUUGAGGAUGUGCCAUUUGUAUGUGCCUUGUUGGGGUGCUUUGCAUAAAAUCACCAAGGGGGAAUGGGGGAGAGAGAGAGCAAAUGUCCAUCACAGACCCAAAAAGAUCAUGCGGCUGCCAUCUUCUCCGCACUCUCAAAUGGUAGCCACCUGUUUUCUUUAAUGCGCACUGUGACCUAUUUUCCUUUAAUUUAAUUCUUUUCUAUAAUGUGUCAACUGACCAGAAGCUGUUCUGUUUGCCUCCGCGUGCCCCUGUCUAAAGACUGGCAAACUUUUCAUGUAUGGGCAGGUAAUAAAUGUUUUCGACUGUCUGGUCAAACUGUCUCUGUU